UACGUAGGCAGCGAGCGUUGUUCGGAGUUACUGGGCGUAAAGCGCACGUAGGCGGUUUGUUAAGUCAGGGGUGAAAUCCCAGAGCUCAACUCUGGAACUGCCUUUGAUACUGGCAAGCUCGAGUCCGGAAGAGGUAAGUGGAACUCCUAGUGUAGAGGUGGAAUUCGUAGAUAUUAGGAAGAACACCAGUGGCGAAGGCGGCUUACUGGUCCGGAACUGACGCUGAGGUGCGAAAGCCAGGGGAGCAAACGGG
rnacentral:rRNA from 1 species